rnacentral:rRNA from 1 species
CCUACGGGAGGCAGCAGUGGGGAAUAUUGCACAAUGGGGGAAACCCUGAUGCAGCGACGCCGCGUGAGUGAAGAAGUAAUUCGUUACGUAAAGCUCUAUCAGCAGGGAAGAAAUACUGACCUUACGGUCAGCAGACGGUACCUGAGUAAGAAGCCCCGGCUAACUACGGGCCAGCAGCCGCGGUAAUACGUAGGGGGCAAGCGUUAUCCGGAUUUACUGGGUGUAAAGGGAGCGUAGACGGUGCGCCAAGUCUGGGGUGAAAUGCCGCGGCUUAACUGCGGGAUUGCUUUGGAAACUGGCGAACUAGAGUGCCGGAGGGGUAAGAGGAAUUCCUGGUGUAGCGGUGAAAUGCGUAGAUAUUAGGAGGAACACCGAUGGCGAAGGCGGCUUACUGGACCGUAACUGACGUUGAGGCUCGAAAGCGUGGGGAGCAAACAGGAUUAGAUACCCUUGUAGUC